UACGUAGGUGGCAAGCGUUAUCCGGAAUUAUUGGGCGUAAAGAGCGCGCAGGUGGUUGAUUAAGUCUGAUGUGAAAGCCCACGGCUUAACCGUGGAGGGUCAUUGGAAACUGGUCGACUUGAGUGCAGAAGAGGGAAGUGGAAUUCCAUGUGUAGCGGUGAAAUGCGUAGAUAUUAGGAGGAACACCGGUGGCGAAGGCGGCUUACUGGACUGUAACUGACGCUGAGUCACGAAAGCGUGGGUAGCAAACAGGAUUAGAUACCCUGGUA
rnacentral:rRNA from 1 species